CAACAAUCUGUCUACAAAAGGAAAUUUUUAGAAUGGAGACGAUAGUAAUAUGGUAUGUAAUGUGCUGUUUUGCUGCCUCUUUCAGCGCUGCUACUUUGAAACUCUACCCCAGAUUCUGGUUCUCAAUUUGAAGAGAUAUCAGUUUGAUGGUAACUGGUUUAGAAAGCUGAAUUAUGACGUGUCUGUGCCUUUUUCACUGACUGUGAAUUCAGAAGAGCAGCCUGUGCAAGAAGAAAGGACCUCAACAGGUGCCACGAACAGUUCCACUGCGUAUCUGUUAAUGUACCGCAUGGUGGCCUGUGAUGCUAAGCCAAGUAAGUGCCGAGUUCUUAUCAUUUACAAGUUGCUGUCAAAGACAAU
rnacentral:lncRNA from 1 species